rnacentral:rRNA from 1 species
AUUGAACGCUGGCGGCAGGCCUAACACAUGCAAGUCGAGCGGCAGCGGGAAAGUAGCUUGCUACUUUUGCCGGCGAGCGGCGGACGGGUGAGUAAUGCCUGGGAAAUUGCCCAGUCGAGGGGGAUAACAGUUGGAAACGACUGCUAAUACCGCAUACGCCCUACGGGGGAAAGCAGGGGACCUUCGGGCCUUGCGCGAUUGGAUAUGCCCAGAUGGGAUUAGCUAGUUGGUGAGGUAAUGGCUCACCAAGGCGACGAUCCCUAGCUGGUCUGAGAGGAUGAUCAGCCACACUGGAACUGAGACACGGUCCUGACUCCUACGGGAGUCAGCAGUGGGGAAUAUUGCACAAUGGGGGAAACCCUAAUGCAGCCAUGCCGCGUGUGUGAAGAAGGCCUUCGGGUUGUAAAGCACUUUCAGCGAGGAGGAAAGGUUGAUGCCUAAUACGUAUCAACUGUGACGUUACUCGCAGAAGAAGCACCGGCUAACUCUGUGCCAGCAGCCGCUGUAAAAC